rnacentral:rRNA from 1 species
UAGGGAAUAUUGGUCAAUGGGCGAAAGCUUGAACCAGCCAUGCCGCGUGCAGGAUGAAGGCCCUACGGGUCGUAAACUGCUUUUAACCGGGAAGAAAAAGUCCAUGUCUAUGGACCUUGCCUGUACCGGUUGAAUAAGGACCGGCUAACUCCGUGCCAGCAGCCGCGGUAAUACGGAGGGUCCAAGCGUUAUCCGGAUUCACUGGGUUUAAAGGGUGCGCAGGCGGUCAGGUAAGUCAGUGGUGAAAGCCCACAGCUCAACUGUGGAAUGGCCAUUGAAACUAUCUGACUUGAGUACAGUCGGAGCGGGCGGAAUGUAGCAUGUAGCGGUGAAAUGCAUAGAUAUGCUACAGAACACCGAUCGCGAAAGCAGCUCGCUAGACUGCUACUGACGCUGAGGCACGAAAGUGUGGGUAGCAAACA